rnacentral:lncRNA from 1 species
GUGCGGCGGCCACGCUGCGGCUCCUGCUUCCCUCCUGCUCGGGUGCGGGCUCGGCUGCCUUCUCGUCCCGCGGAGCCCGGAGUGCCUCCCCCUCGGGUAGAUCCUACUAACAGCAUCAAAGAAAUAAUGAAAUAAUCUCUCCUUGGUGUGUUCUUACCGUCCUAAUAGGCACAAGGGGACUCUUCAGUGCAUUUUCCAAAACCUGUACAAACUCUCUUGACAUAAAUGCAGUGAGUUUACAAUAAAAUCGCAGUGGGAGGUAACGUCAGGCUUCAGAGGCAGACAUGGUCCUGGAGCCUUUGGGAGGAGAGGAGAGGAGAGGCAGCGGGCGCGGGGCGGCGUCCAGGGGGCUGAGCGAGGUCUGGGCAGGAGGACAGAGCUGAGCCUUGGGCUGCCCUGGCCCCUGCGCAGGACACACAGUGACCGGGGCUGGGGUGGGCACCCCGGUUCUACCGUCGGGAGUCGGCGUGUUCAUGGAGU